CUGCUGCUGCUGAAAAGGCCAGCCGGGCUGGAGAGACCUGGCAUUGGCGCAUCUGGGAACCGACGUCCGUGCGCGGCUGGCUAGAAUGCUGGACUCGCCUCCGCAGCGCUAGCCACCCAGCCUCUCUCAUGGUCUGCUUUGUGGCCCAGGGCCUGCAGGGAUUAGAAGACAUGUGGGGUCAAGGAACAGGAAGCUGACCUGGAUGGAAGUUGAACAGUGAUCUUUGCUCUCUGCCUGGCUCCUGAGUCCUCUGCCAUGUUCCUGGAGAAGAGGAGCCAGCCAGGGUAAGAAGGGCAGGGGCUUAGGGUGGAAACGCCAUGUGGGUGAGGAUCCUGCCUGAAACAGCUUUGAGAGUCCUGCGAUGACAGAUUGGCCCCAUGCCAGGCCUUAUCUCUUUGGACAUCCCAAACAGGAAUGACCAGCAUGUCCGAUCCUGGGACUGGGAGCCGGAAAGGGAUGAGGGAUGGUUUUUCCACUCCAGGGGAGUGUCCAGAGGGAAUGUGGAGCAGAGCAGGGGCGACUGGUAGGGGGAGGGCCUGAGCUAAAGAAUGUGGGGGAGUGUCAGACCAGUCUGGGGAGAUGGAGUGGGAGUGGAGGGAGACAUGGAGACUAGAAGGAUCUCAGCUGGAGAGAUGGAGAAAGAGAAAUCUCAGGGUUCUUUGGUUUCAGUGGCACCGUCGUCUGUAGGAUCAUCUCAUCCCUCAGUUGACUUUAUCAUGUCAACUCUUUAUCUGUCAACCCUCCCCCAUGGGGAAGAGACCCACCUAGAAACACACAGACAGACAGAGAAACAAGGACACAGGAAUAAUAUGUGUAAUGAGGAGUCUAAGUCCAUUUGUUGAUGUUUGCUGACAGAUUUUAAGCCUCACCCUUCCCUCUUCUCUGUGCCCUACACCUGGACAAGCUGAUAAGAAAGUCUGGGUGCACCCUCCUUUGGUGUUUGAGGGGGAAUAUUCACAAGCCCCUUCCUGAGGGAACCCUCACCCCUCAACCACAAUAAAAACCCAGGCCAGUCUCCUUCCUGGCUCUCCCAACACAUCUGGGACCUGCUUGAAAGACUGCCCCUGCUCCCCCUGGAGACCUCAAUUAUGUAAAUAAUAAACCUUUUCAUACUCUCUUGGUGUUUGGGUGGUGUCGUCAGUCUUCAUUCAAACCAAACCUUGGAUGGGAUCCAUCUGCCUCUGCAGGUGACCGUAACAACAUGCAAAUGGUGAGUUCUGCUGGGGGGUCAUGGAAGCUCCCUGGAGGAGGUGUAUCUGGACAACAGGGAAAGAAAGGAGCUGGAGAAGAGAGGCAGAAAAAUUGGGUCCUGGUUCAGGUGAAGUUUUCCCAGCUGGAACAAUGACAAUGUCAAUAUCCCACAAAGGCGGCUUCUGUUUAUUUAGCGCUUGCUGUGUUCCCACAAGUCUUCCUCUACCUGCCCUCUCCCCAGCCCUCAUCUCACUCUCCCAGAGCCCCAGAGCACACCAAUGGACACCAUCACCUCUCGGGCAGAUCAGCACAGAGACGUGAAGCACACAGGCAGCUGCUGGAAAAAUAACAAGGAAUUGCAAUGGUGUGCCCCUCCGUUGAAUGCAAGCUCUCUUCUGCCUUCUCACCUUGGGCAAGUUACCUUCCGUUCCAGGCCUCGGUUUCUCCAUGUGUGAAAUGAAAGGGCUGGAGAGAAAUCUCUCACUAUUCCCCAAUCUACAUUCAUUGUAUCCCAAACCUUCUAAUAUCUGUUCAACGAAGUGUACCAAAUCUCAGCUAUUGGACUGAGACUCAGGGGUCUAUCUGACUUGAAUUGAAAAUGCAAAUUACUGAAGAGGGAGGGAGGGAGGAGUGCUGAAGAUUGAAUGGAUUUAUCAGAUUUCCUUCUCCUAUGGCCCAGAUGCAGGCCUAGUCCAGGCGAUUCCCCUGGCUCAGAAUCUGCCAGGCUCAAGCAUUCAUUGACAGCCUACUAUGUACCAAUCCUGGGCUGAGUCCCAACCCGGGGAUGACUUAGAGGAGGCCAGGAUGUGGCCUCAUGUUCUGGUUGCUCUCACAUUUAAACAGGCUAAACCCACUUUGCAUUGUAUGUUAGGGGUGGUGCUUGUGGGACAAAGGGGGCUGUCAGAACAUUCUGGCUGCCACAUGAAGUUGACUUUGCCAGGACAGACUGGGUUGUGGGGGAAGGCAGCUACUGUAAUAAUUUGGCCAAGAAGUGGGCUGAGCAGGAGCAGGGCUGAGGGAGGGAGAGAGGGAAUGAGUAAGAAAGGCCCAGGGUACUGAUUUGACUGGGACUUCAGGGACAGGUGUGGGGCGAGAGGGAUGCUGGAAGUGAAGGAGGGAAAGUGCAGAGGCUUUCUGGGGAUUAAUAGGCAAUGAUCUCUAUGAGGGCGUGGUGAGUAGGCCCCAAACAUCCGGGGACUUCCCUGCCUGCCAUCCCUCUGUCUCUCUCUUCCUUUCCUACUGCCCAGGGCCUGGCCCUGCUGCACAUGCCCUGCCCUGGCCCCCAGAGUCCCCUUCUUUCCUGGCUGGGAGAUUAAGACUCUGCUGUGCCUACAGCAUUCUCAACCUCAAGUCAAGGUGGCCCUUUGGAGCCCAGGAGGCCACAUGGCUGAGUCAGGGCUGAGUCACCACCCCCCAAGGGCCUUGCCAUUUCCUGUGGAGAAGCCUCUUUACUGGCAGGGUUCUGUGCUCAGGUGGGAAAUCUGGAGAGGUCGGGGGCAGGGCUUCAUCUACUUUUACCCACUAACUCCCUAGACACUCCACUGGGGGUAGAGGGUUCCUACACGUAUGAUGAUCAAAACAUGUGUCUGUGCACAUGGGCCCUUAUGCAUUCACAGGUGUUUGCCUAUGCGACUGCAUGUCUGAAUGUUUUAUGUAUAUUUGAAUAUAGAUAGGGAACAAAUAUUUAUGGAGCACAUAUUAUGUGUGCAGCCUUUUACGUGUGUUACUUUCUAAUAACCCUAGGAGGCGUAGAUGCCUCCCAGGCUAUGGUUGAAAAUACUGACAUGCCCAAGGUGCAGGAGGUAUGAAUACCUCCCCACUGUGGCUGGUAACACCCCAGGUUUCUCCAACUCCACAGUGAUGGGCUUUCCUCCAGAGCCGGUUCCUCAGGGGCAGGAGUGAGAAGUGUGUGUGUCUGUAUUUAUCCUUCCACCAGUGGCUGUGAUUGGUCCUGUGGUUGGAAACAGGGUCAAGUAAGGCCCUUGGGAGUAGCUGGGUGAAUGGACGAUGGUGGCGUCCACCUUGGACAUGGCACAUACUUCUGGUCGGGUAUCCACGUGGCUGGCCAACCCGGACCUGCCCUAUUAGGGGCCAUCGCCCUCAUGGCUCAUCAGUGCUGAGUUUCAUUGCCUUCUUCGUAAUGCAAUACUAAUGGAUACAGGCAUGUAUCUGCCGUACACUAGAUGAAAUGUGGUUAUUUGCUCAGGUAGAAAUAAAGACUAAAAUACCAAAGUGG
rnacentral:lncRNA from 1 species